UUAAGUGACUAAGCGUACACGGUGGAUGCCUUGGCAGUUGGAGGCGAUGAAGGACGUACUAACUUGCGAUAAGCCUAGUCAAGCCAGUAAGAGGCGCUUGAGACUAGGAUUUCCGAAUGGGGAAACCCACCUGCUUGCAGGUAUCGUUAACUGAAUACAUAGGUUAACGAGGCGAACGCGGAGAACUGAAACAUCUAAGUACCCGUAGGAAAAGAAAUCAACCGAGAUUCCGAAAGUAGCGGCGAGCGAAAUCGGAGCAGCCCUUAAGCUUUAGUGUAGUUAGUGGAAGAUGCUGGAAAGCAUGACGAAACAGGGUGAUAGUCCCGUACACAAAAACUUAUCUAAAGUGAAAUCGAGUAGGUCGGAGCACGUGAAACUUUGACUGAAUAUGGGGGGACCAUCCUCCAAGGCUAAAUACUCCCAACUGACCGAUAGUGAACCAGUACCGUGAGGGAAAGGCGAAAAGAACCCCUGUGAGGGGAGUGAAAUAGAACCUGAAACCGUGUACGUACAAGCAGUAGGAGCCUACUUGUUGGGUGACUGCGUACCUUUUGUAUAAUGGGUCAGCGACUUAUAUUCUGUAGCGAGGUUAACCAUUUAGGGGAGCCGUAGCGAAAGCGAGUCUUAACUGGGCGCUUAAGUUGCAGGGUAUAGACCCGAAACCCGGUGAUCUAGCCAUGGGCAGGUUGAAGGUUGAGUAACAUCAACUGGAGGACCGAACCCACUAACGUUGAAAAGUUAGGGGAUGACCUGUGGCUAGGAGUGAAAGGCUAAUCAAACCGGGAGAUAGCUGGUUCUCCCCGAAAUCUAUUUAGGUAGAGCCUCGGACGAAUACUUACGGGGGUAGAGCACUGUUAAGGCUAGGGGGUCAUCCCGACUUACCAACCCUUUGCAAACUCCGAAUACCGUAAAGUAAUAUCCGGGAGACACACGGCGGGUGCUAACGUCCGUCGUGGAGAGGGAAACAACCCAGACCGUCAGCUAAGGUCCCAAAGUGUAUGUUAAGUGGGAAACGAUGUGGGAAGGCUAAAACAGCUAGGAGGUUGGCUUAGAAGCAGCCACCCUUUAAAGAAAGCGUAAUAGCUCACUAGUCGAGUCGGCCUGCGCGGAAGAUGUAACGGGGCUAAACAUACCACCGAAGCUACGGCUGCGUACGUAAGUAUGCGGGGUAGGGGAGCGUUCUGUAAGUGGCUGAAGGUGUGCCGGGAGGCAUGCUGGACAUAUCAGAAGUGCGAAUGCUGACAUGAGUAACGACAAGAGGAGUGAAAAACUCCUCCGCCGGAAGACCAAGGGUUCCUAUCCCAUGUUAAUCAGGGUAGGGUGAGUCGACCCCUAAGGCGAGGCUGAAGAGCGUAGUCGAUGGGAAACGGGUUAAUAUUCCCGUACUCGGUAUGAAUGCGAUGGGGGGACGGAGCAGGCUAGGCAAGCAUGGCGUUGGUUGUCCAUGUGAAAGGCUGUAGGCUGGUGACUUAGGAAAAUCCGGGUUGCCAAGGCUGAGAGUCGAGACGAGCCACUAAGGUGGUGAAGUUGUUGAUGCCCUACUUCCAGGAAAAGCCUCUAAGCUUCAGUUCAUACUGAAUCGUACCCUAAACCGACACAGGUGGUCAGGUAGAGAAUACUAAGGCGCUUGAGAGAACUCGGGUGAAGGAACUAGGCAAAAUUGUACCGUAACUUCGGGAGAAGGUACGCUCUUGUUUGUGAAGGACUUGCUCUGUAAGCAAACGAGAGCCGCAGUGACCAGGUGGCUGGGACUGUUUAUUAAAAACACAGCACUGUGCAAAAUCGUAAGAUGACGUAUACGGUGUGACACCUGCCCGGUGCCGGAAGGUUAAUUGAUGGGGUUAGCUUAGGCGAAGCUCUUGAUCGAAGCCCCGGUAAACGGCGGCCGUAACUAUAACGGUCCUAAGGUAGCGAAAUUCCUUGUCGGGUAAGUUCCGACCUGCACGAAUGGUGUAACCAUGGCCACGCUGUCUCCACCCGAGACUCAGUGAAAUUGAAAUCGCAGUGAAGAUGCUGUGUACCCGCGGCUAGACGGAAAGACCCCGUGAACCUUUACUACAGCUUGGCACUGAACAUUGACCCUACAUGUGUAGGAUAGGUGGGAGGCUUUGAAGCAGGAACGCUAGUUUCUGUGGAGCCGACCUUGAAAUACCACCCUUGUAGUGUUGAUGUUCUAACUUAGGCCCCUGAAUCGGGGUUGAGGACAGUGCCUGGUGGGUAGUUUGACUGGGGCGGUCUCCUCCCAAAGAGUAACGGAGGAGCACGAAGGUUUGCUAAGUACGGUCGGACAUCGUACGGUUAGUGUAAUGGUAGAAGCAAGCUUAACUGCGAGACAGACACGUCGAGCAGGUACGAAAGUAGGUCAUAGUGAUCCGGUGGUUCUGAAUGGAAGGGCCAUCGCUCAACGGAUAAAAGGUACUCCGGGGAUAACAGGCUGAUACCGCCCAAGAGUUCAUAUCGACGGCGGUGUUUGGCACCUCGAUGUCGGCUCAUCACAUCCUGGGGCUGAAGUCGGUCCCAAGGGUAUGGCUGUUCGCCAUUUAAAGUGGUACGCGAGCUGGGUUUAGAACGUCGUGAGACAGUUCGGUCCCUAUCUGCCGUGGGCGUUUGAGAAUUGAGAGGGGCUGCUCCUAGUACGAGAGGACCGGAGUGGACGAACCACUGGUGUUCGGGUUGUGAUGCCAAUUGCAUUGCCCGGUAGCUACGUUCGGAACUGAUAACCGCUGAAAGCAUCUAAGCGGGAAGCAGGCCUCGAGAUGAGUUCUCACUUUGACUUAGAGUCAACUGAAGGGCCGUUGAAGACUACAACGUUGAUAGGCGAGAUGUGGAAGUGCUGUGAGGCAUUAAGCUAACUCGUACUAAUUACCCGAGAGGCUUAACCAU
rnacentral:rRNA from 1 species